rnacentral:snoRNA from 1 species
UUUUAUAUGAUGAUUAAUUAACUUUCGCCCCUAUCUGAAAGUUUUGGAAACUUCUAAUGUUGAUUGCGAAUGAUUGGUCUUACUGAUAAUAAUUU